AGAGUUUGAUCAUGGCUCAGGACAAACGCUGGCGGCGUGCUUAAUACAUGCAAGUCGAACGGGUGCACUUAGGUGCACUAGUGGCGGACGGGUGAGUAACACGUAGGUAACCUGCCCUAUUGUGGGGAAUAACAGCUCGAAAGAGUUGCUAAUACCGCAUAAGCUCUAUUCCGUGGGGAGUAGAGGAAACGCUUCUUUCGGGGAGUGGCGAUAGGAGGGGCCUGCGGCGGAUUAGCUAGAUGGUGGGGUAAAGGCCUACCAAGGCGACGAUGCGUAGCUGGUCUGAGAGGAUGAUCAGCCACACUGGGACUGAGACACGGCCCAGACUCCUACGGGAGGCAGCAGCCAGGAAUCUUGGGCAAUGGGCGAAAGCCUGACCCAGCAACACCGUGUGGGCGAUGAAGGCCUUAGGGUCGUAAAGCCCUGUUGAUAGGGACGAAGGGCGAAGGGUUAAUAGCCCCUAGCCUGACGGUACCCUUCGAGGAAGCCCCGGCUAACUACGUGCCAGCAGCCGCGGUAAUACGUAGGGGGCGAGCGUUGUCCGGAAUUAUUGGGCGUAAAGAGCGUGUAGGCGGUUCGGUAAGUCUGUCGUGAAAUCCUGGGGCUCAACCCUGGGCGUGCGAUGGAUACUGCCGGGCUAGAGGGUGGUAGAGGCGAGUGGAAUUCCCGGUGUAGCGGUGAAAUGCGCAGAUAUCGGGAGGAACACCAGUAGCGAAGGCGGCUCGCUGGGCCACACCUGACGCUGAGACGCGAAAGCUAGGGGAGCGAACAGGAUUAGAUACCCCAGUAGUCC
rnacentral:rRNA from 1 species